ACAGGGAUUGCCCUAGUAACGGCGAGUGAAGCGGCAACAGCUCAAAUUUGAAAUCUGGCCCUCGGGUCCGAAUUGUAAUUUGUAGAGGAUGCUUUUGGCGCGGUGCCUACCGAGUUCCCUGGAACGGGACGCCUUAGAGGGUGAGAGCCCCGUACGGUUGGACACCAAGCCUCUGUAAAGCUCCUUCGACGAGUCGAGUAGUUUGGGAAUGCUGCUCUAAAUGGGAGGUAAAUUUCUUCUAAAGCUAAAUAUUGGCCAGAGACCGAUAGCGCACAAGUAGAGUGAUCGAAAGAUGAAAAGCACUUUGAAAAGAGGGUUAAAUAGCACGUGAAAUUGUUGAAAGGGAAGCGUUUGCGACCAGACCUUUUCCCGGCGGAUCAUCCGGUGUUCUCACCGGUGCACUUCGCCGGGUUUAGGCCAGCAUCGGUUUUUGUAGGGGGAUAAAAGCUUUGGGAACGUAGCUCCCUCGGGAGUGUUAUAGCCCUUUGCAUAAUACCCUUACGGGGAUCGAGGACCGCGCUUCUGCAAGGAUGCUGGCGUAAUGGUCGUCAACGACCCGU
rnacentral:rRNA from 1 species